GGGGUCGAUUUGGUUUUGACAGCAAGACCAAUUGGAUAGUAAGCAUACCGAGCGCUGGGAUAUAGCUCGUAAAUCUCAGGUUCUAUCUUUUUUAAACGGCGAAAAUAAUUACGCCUUAGCUGCAUAAUCUGAACUAUAGUAAGUUAUGCUUAAUCGCUACGAGGUAGCGAGCUGAGAUGCCUCUGGAAAGCCUUGAUUUAUGGCGUUCCGUUAAGAGGCACCGAUAAAAUAAAUCUAGGUGUUAUGAUGCCUUUAAGUAAUACCGAAUUUUUUAAGGCUAAGGAAAAAGUAGGAGGUUUUUUGCCGGCUUUUUCUCGAAAACCGAAGUGAAAACUAUGUAUGUAGAAAGCUAUUGAAUUGCUUGUUUGGACGGGAGUUCGAGUCUCCCCGACUCCACUA
rnacentral:tmRNA from 1 species